rnacentral:lncRNA from 1 species
ACUUUGAUAUGCAGCUAAAGUCUAUUAUGUGACUUACAUGACUUAACUUGAAAGAUUUAAGUUGCUUGAAGCAUAUGCAAUCCUUGGUCCUGAAGUACUACAUCCUUAGUACAAUUUGUGUACAUAUGUAUAUUGCCAUAACUAUAAGUAUGAUGGCAUUGAGAAUGCAUCUAUGGAGAUAUUGAAGUGUUAUUCCACGACAUCAUAUGAAGNNNN